AAUCCAUGAUGAGGGUAUAACCUCAACAUUUUAUUAAAUCGCUCACAUGUUUCAUAGAACGAUUCCCUAUCAUUUUGAGUAAAACUAGUUAUUUGAUUCCUCAGUUG